rnacentral:rRNA from 1 species
GAUGAACGCUGGCGGCGUGCCUAAUACAUGCAAGUCGAGCGAACGGACGAGAAGCUUGCUUCUCUGAUGUUAGCGGCGGACGGGUGAGUAACACGUGGAUAACCUACCUAUAAGACUGGUAUAACUUCGGGAAACCGGAGCUAAUACCGGAUAAUAUUUUGAACCGCAUGGUUCAAAAGUAAAAGACGGUCUUGCUGUCACUUAUAGAUUGAUCCGCGCUGCAUUAGCUAGUUGGUAAGGUAACGGCUUACCAAGGCAACGAUGCAUAGCCGACCUGAGAGGGAGAUCGGCCACACUGGAACUGAGACACGGUCCAGACACCUACGGGAGGCAGCAGUAGGGAAUCUUCCGCAAUGGGCGAAAGCCUGACGGAGCAACGCCGCGUGAGAGAUGAAGGUCUUCGGAUCGUAAAACUCUGUUAUUAGGGAAGAACAUAUGUGUAAGUAACUGUGCACAUCUUGACGGUACCUAAUCAGAAAGCCACGGCUAACUACGUG